rnacentral:rRNA from 1 species
GGGAGCUUGCUCCCUGAUGUUAGCGGCGGACGGGUGAGUAACACGUGGGUAACCUGCCUGUAAGACUGGGAUAACUCCGGGAAACCGGGGCUAAUACCGGAUGGUUGUUUGAACCGCAUGGUUCAGACAUAAAAGGUGGCUUCGGCUACCACUUACAGAUGGACCCGCGGCGCAUUAGCUAGUUGGUGAGGUAACGGCUCACCAAGGCGACGAUGCGUAGCCGACCUGAGAGGGUGAUCGGCCACACUGGGACUGAGACACGGCCCAGACUCCUACGGGAGGCAGCAGUAGGGAAUCUUCCGCAAUGGACGAAAGUCUGACGGAGCAACGCCGCGUGAGUGAUGAAGGUUUUCGGAUCGUAAAGCUCUGUUGUUAGGGAAGAACAAGUGCCGUUCAAAUAGGGCGGCACCUUGACGGUACCUAACCAGAAAGCCACGGCUAACUACGUGCCAGCAGCCGCGGUAAUACGUAGGUGGCAAGCGUUGUCCGGAAUUAUUGGGCGUAAAGGGCUCGCAGGCGGUUUCUUAAGUCUGAUGUG